UGUUGUGGAUUUUGAAACUGUGUUGAAUUCUAAGUUUGGGGUGGUGAAUCUAAUACAAAAGGGACAAGCGUGCGAAAAAUUGUUACAAGAAAAGAGAAAAAUAAAAACAAAUUGGAGGCUUUUUGAAUGCUCCGGAAAAAAAAAAGAGAAAAGAAAAAGAGAACUGAUAAAAAUGCACUUGUCCCAACUAAACGACUUGAUUACAUUUGAAAUACUCAAUCCGUGAGUAAAGUUAAAUAGUCGAUGUCGAACCCCUUUACAUCAAAGUAAGCACAGGUACAAGAAAAAUAGCAUGAAUGUCGAGCCCCAAAACCCUUGUGUAUCCGUUUUGUUGUUU
rnacentral:lncRNA from 1 species